UAAUAACAACCACGAUGGCAGAGGUGUCAUGAGGUUAAAGUACAUCAAGUUAUCUGUGACAUAUGUGAUGUGAUAUGCCAAUAUCAGUGAUUUUUAUUGGUGACAAAGUCACAAAGGUUCCCAAAUCCUGCUACAUAUAUGUUGCCUAUAUUCAGAAUUAACAGAAAGAAAUACUUAAUUUCAAUUUGAGGCUGGUCAACAAAGAUAUGACGUAUUUUCUUUCUGUCCAGGUUCACGAGUGCCCUGAAUUCCAUCCACAGAGCUAUUGGAUGUUUGGAGCCCAGGUGAAGAUCCCAGAGCUGGGGAAUGAAAGGUUGGAAAAGCCCAGCCAGCUGUGCCAGCCUCCAGAGACACUCUCUUGACUGCGGUUCCGGGAAAGGCCAGGCGGGUGUCAGAGGUCUUUGUCAACCCGCUGAGUCAGCAGAGGCAGAAGGCAUUCUUCUUAAGUUCCCAGGGAGAGACUGGAG
ensembl:lincRNA